GCGGAGGAUCACGCAGAAGGGACGCGAACUAG
rnacentral:rRNA from 1 species